rnacentral:sRNA from 1 species
ACUCCUUGUCGUGGAGGCAAAUCAAGCGUCUGGUACUCACUUUUUGGAACUGAAUAUCCCGUGAACAGAAACACAUGCAGUUUUGGAUGUUAGAACACCCUAAUGACGCUCCUGCGAUGAAAAAUAAUCAUGAAAAGUUAUAAGUCAGCCAAAAGCUCUUUCCUAUGAUAGCUUGGUUGUAAUACACGUGUCUUUGCUCCCCAGCCUUGAUGCUAGAAUCACGGAGACCGACACUGGGGUGAAAAAGGGGGGGUGUUUUGAGGGGGCCGCCAAAGCUCUCAUACACCUUUGCCAGUCAUGCUCCUGACUCGUCAAUCUAUAUACCAACGC